rnacentral:rRNA from 1 species
AUUGAACGCUGGCGGCAGGCCUAACACAUGCAAGUCGAGCGGAUGAAGGGAGCUUGCUCCUGGAUUCAGCGGCGGACGGGUGAGUAAUGCCUAGGAAUCUGCCUGGUAGUGGGGGAUAACGUCCGGAAACGGGCGCUAAUACCGCAUACGUCCUGAGGGAGAAAGUGGGGGAUCUUCGGACCUCACGCUAUCAGAUGAGCCUAGGUCGGAUUAGCUAGUUGGUGGGGUAAAGGCCUACCAAGGCGACGAUCCGUAACUGGUCUGAGAGGAUGAUCAGUCACACUGGAACUGAGGCACGGUCCAGACUCCUACGGGAGGCAGCAGUGGGGAAUAUUGGACAAUGGGCGAAAGCCUGAUCCAGCCAUGCCGCGUGUGUGAAGGAGGUCUUCGGAUUGUAAAGCACUUUAAGUUGGGAGGAAGGGCAGUAAGUUAAUACCUUGCUGUUUUGACGUUACCAACAGAAUAAGCACCGGCUAACUUCGUG